GAAAAGUUAUGUUUCUCUCUCAUUUGAAUAAAAGCACAUGAGAGUCAAAUUAUAAUUACAAAAAGGGGAUGACCAGACUUUUGUGAACUUGGGGUUGGACAAAUGCAUUGUAUCUAGAAUUUUACAUAAAUAGUUAGUCCUCAUAACAAACUUCUAAACACAAUUCUCAUUUUAAUGGUGAGAAAAAAGAUUAGUAACUUGCCCAAGGUACAAGCCCUAACAAGAACUGAGAUUUGAGUAUAGGUCUGUUUAGAUCCAAAGCCUAGGUACCUUUACAUCUUUACCAUACUACCUAAGUGUGGCACAUAUUAAGCCAUAUACAAAAAAAAAAAAAAAUAGUGGGAAAUAAUAAAACAAACAUUUGAAUUUUCGUUUUUCACAAAAAAUACAGCAGUAGAAAUGGUCAAGUGUUCAAGUUGUAAUUAAUUCAAUCUUCUCUCUCAGGGCUGUAAAUACUACUAUAAGAAGAAAAUACUACUACAUUUUACAGGUACUCUAUAUUUUACAUUUUAAAACAUGCUCCGCUGUCUAUUCUACUCCUUUACUUUUUUGCUUCUCUUCCACAUAGCUUCUGUCUGUGAGUAAUCAUAACAAUAUAAAGCAGCAGUUAUCACAGUGUGGACUCUUCAGGGAAUACAUGAAGUCAAAAUUAUUUCAUUAUUAUACUAAGACAUUAUAUAUCCUUAUGUUUCACAUUUUGCCUUUUCCCCUUGCUCUCAUUCCCUCAUGAGUAUAUGUUACAUGGUUUUCUAGAAGCUACAGGAUGUGUGGUGACAUUGCUCUGGCAGCUAAUGGAAUAUGUGCUUGAAUUUUUUAAAUUUCUGGGUCUUAAUUUCUAAUUAGAUAAAUAUCAACCACAUAAGCUAAAGGUGAAAACUUUAAGUGACACUUUCUGACCAUGUGAAUCUACCCUGUACUAAUUUCAACAAUAAUUCAGAAAAUGACUGAAACUAUUUCAUAACAAGUCUUUUCUUUAAAUUAUAUAAAGCACACAAAAAACCAGCUUUUCCCAAAAAAAGAAAAAAUCAUUUCACAUUCUUGUGUCAUGUAACAGAACUUGAAGACUUCAGUCAAAAAUCAAAAAUGUCAAAAUCCAGCAAAUGUUAAAGGUCUACCAAAUUUCCUUUCUUAACCUCUAUUACCAUAGAAGCCUAAACCAAAAUACUCAAUUUCUGAUACAGUGUAAAGUACUAUGCUAUGCAGACAAUAAUAGAAAAGAUUACAAAAAUGAGAAAAAUAUUACUUUCUGCCCUCACAGAGCUUACAAUCUAAAUCCUCAAAUUAAUUAGCAGGACAAAGUACCGACAAGUCUUUACAUAUUACAGAGCAAUGGCCACUAGAUGCAGUUUAUGCUAAAUGUUGUUUGAUGACAAACAUUCAAAAGUAUGGUACAUCCCUAAUUCAUUUCAAAGGUAGAUUUUUUUUACAUCAAUAAUAUGAUGCAGAUAUUAUCUAUCAUUGUUAUAAAAACAGAACUCCAAACGAAGCAACCGCUAAUGAUUAAAAAUAAAAUUAGCUCUAAAAAAUGACCAUAACAACAAAUACUAAGGACUUUCAUGUAUUUUUGCAUUCUUUGUGGCAUAUGACCUUCAAGAAGGUACCAAAGACCUAUUAUUUCCAUUUUUAAAGUAGUAAAUAGAAAAUCUUGAAACAAUGACACAUACUCUGAAAUUCCUUAAGAGAAAAUCAUAAAACCCUAUACUGAAAUAGCUAUAAAACCCUAUUCGAAUGUCCUCUUCCUUUAGAGGUAAACUUGUAUCAAAAAAUUUACUUUGGCUAAUGUAUAGCUAUUCCAAAAAGACUUAAAAGAAACCAGGAUUUAAAAAUUCAUCUUUAAGAAAUGCCUUAGAAGCUGGCAUAUAACUCUUUCAAAUUCACAAAUGUACAAGAAAGGUCAGGCACAGUGGCUCCCACCUAUAAUCCCAGCAUUCUGGGAGGCCAAGGUGAAAGGACUGGUUGAGCCCAGGAGUUUGAGACCAGCCUUGGCAACAUAGGGAAAAACCCACUGCACCAAAAAAAAUUUUUAACAGCCAGGGAUGGUGGCAUACAACUGUAGUCCCAGCUACUCAGGAAGCUGAGGUAGGAGGACUGCUUGAACCCAGGAGGUCAAGACUGCAGUAAGCCAUGAUUACACCACUGCACUCCAGCCUGGGUGACAGAAUAAAACCAUCUCAAAAAGAAAAAACAAACAAACAGAACAAAAAAACACGAGAAAAACCCAAAUGUACAAGAAAAUCAAUCUCAUUACUCAAUCAUUCUGUGGUUAGGCCACAAGUGGUAUUACAGCGCAACGCCAACCUCAGGUCACUACAGCAACUUAUGCGAUAGAUGUAUCAUUAGGAAAAUAAGACUAUCAGAUCUCCAAGGAGAUUUGUUGUAAGAGAGAAACAGUCAAAUGAGUAUGUCUCUACCCUGUGUUAAACUAAUCUUGCUGUCUUAAGACUUACUAUUUGGACUUCACUAUUUUCUUCCUUUUUUUGGCGGGGGGAGGGGGGAACAGAGCCUCGCUCCGUCAUCCAGGCUGCAGUGCAGUGGCGUGAUGUCGGUUCACUGCAACCUCUGCCUCCUGGGUUCAUGCAGUUCUCCUGCCUCAGAGGAUUGCUUGAAUCCAGGAGGCAGAGGCUGCAGUGAGCCAAGAUCGUGCCACUGCACUCCAGCCUGGCGAC
rnacentral:lncRNA from 1 species